GUUAACUCUGCCACUCAAGACAUUUUCUCAGGAGAAGAAGCCAGGGCUUCCACAGGCUCAAGCAGCAUGGUUUACCUCACUGCUAUAGGAGGUCCAAGCCUUACACUUCGUUUGCAAAGCUUUUUGAUCACAGCUGUACUGCUGACAAAGGCAUUAUUUGCACCCGUGUGGUGACAUCCAUUGCUCUGAGCUACCAAACCGAGCCCCCUUGCUGAAAUGUACGAAGAAUCCCAGUAGUCACCUUUGACUGCUUUAAAAAUGGCAUGUGUGUAUAUAUAUAUAUAUAGCUUAAGGCUGCCGCUGCUUGCAAAUCCCAGUGACUUCAAAUACUGAAACCAUGUACUAUUUGGGUAGGGGUAGAUAUAAUGUGUUUGCAGAAUGCACAAUACCACCUGAAAUCCUUCAUCCACG
rnacentral:lncRNA from 1 species